CAGCCGCCGCGGGAAAACAGAGGGUGCGAGCGUUAAUCGGAUUUACUGGGCGUAAAGCGUGCGUAGGCGGCUUCUUAAGUCGGAUGUGAAAUCCCUGAGCUUAACUUAGGAAUUGCAUUCGAUACUGGGAAGCUAGAGUAUGGGAGAGGAUGGUAGAAUUCAAGGUGUAGCGGUGAAAUGCGUAGAGAUCUGGAGGAAUACCGAUGGCGAAGGCAGCCAUCUGGCCUAAUACUGACGCUGAGGUACGAAAGCAUGGGGAGCAAACAGGAUUAGAUACCCGUGUAGUCCCUGUCUCUUAUAC
rnacentral:rRNA from 1 species